GUGGUCAAAACACAUGUGUAUUUUAUAA
rnacentral:sRNA from 1 species